rnacentral:rRNA from 1 species
UUGGGUUAAGUCCCGCAACGAGCGCAACCCUUGUCCUUAGUUGCCAGCGAGUAAUGUCGGGAACUCUAAGGAGACUGCCGGUGACAGAUGAUUGGGGUG